rnacentral:snoRNA from 1 species
GGCCUCCUGGUGCUUACUACAGGCUGUGUUCUUACACUGACUGAAUAGCGAGAGCAGGCAAAGUAAACCUACCCCAUAUACACCUCAGCUCAGGUCCUGUGCCUGGUCUGAAUUUUGAAUGGAGAGACAUGC